CCUACGGGUGGCAGCAGUGAGGAAUAUUGGUCAAUGGACGAGAGUCUGAACCAGCCAAGUAGCGUGAAGGAUGACUGCCCUAUGGGUUGUAAACUUCUUUUAUAUGGGAAUAAAAUGUUCCACGUGUGGGAUUUUGUAUGUACCAUAUGAAUAAGGACCGGCUAACUCCGUGCCAGCAGCCGCGGUAAUACGGAGGAUCCGAGCGUUAUCCGGAUUUAUUGGGUUUAAAGGGAGCGUAGGUGGAUGUUUAAGUCAGUUGUGAAAGUUUGCGGCUCAACCGUAAAAUUGCAGUUGAAACUGGCAGUCUUGAGUACGGUAGAGGUGGGCGGAAUUCGUGGUGUAGCGGUGAAAUGCUUAGAUAUCACGAAGAACUCCGAUUGCGAAGGCAGUUCACUGGACUGCAACUGACACUGAGGCUCGAAAGUGUGGGUAUCAAACAGGAUUAGAUACCCUAGUAGUC
rnacentral:rRNA from 1 species